GGGAAAAAAAAAAUUUUGUAUCAAAUAACAAAAGGGGCUUUGGUCUAGCUGUCAUAGAAAGAGUAGAUAAAUGGGCAAGGAAUUUUGACCUUGCCUUUGUAUUUUUCAUUUACUUGGGAAUUUCUAAGUGGAGGAAAAAGAUGCCCUUUCUAUGUGCUUGUAUUGGAAGCAUUAUGGGCAUUUUAAUUCCUCUUUAUUUCGCCUUUGUACUAGUGUGAUCUAAAGACAAUUUCUAGUCUACCCACAUGGUUGCUAGACUUUAUGUCUACUGAUAUUGGUCCCUCUAAAGUAUUGCUAUCUAAAGAUUUCUUAUGCAAGAUUUGGGAGGUAAGGUUAGCUUAAGCAAAUUGCAUUCGAGUAAUUUGGGGGAUUUUAUUUUAUACUGAAGUUGAUAAAGUGUAUUGGCUUGACGAGUGACCCACAUGAGUUUCCUGGGUUGGGAGGGUACUUUAAUAUACAGGAACUUUAAAUUUCUGUAAAAGCAAUCAUGCAAAGGUAGUUCCUCUUUCUUUGAGUCUAUCUAUCCACCACUUGAUUUUAGGCGUCCUUUUUGACUCAGAGGAGACCAGUACUGUUGUAAAUGGGGUCAUGAAGAAAGUGAAGGUGGUAGGGAAAGUGGGACUUGUGAUGAUGAAAGGGAAGAAUUCAAAGAAAGAAAAAAGAGGGCUGAGUGAUUGUAAAUUAGGAAAAGCCACAAAACAUGGUUUGGGUGCUGAUUUUUUGUUUUUUGUCUUUGCUUGUUUGUUUCUGUGGACUUAGCUCCGUAUGUUUAUUGGUGGGGCCAUUCAAAUUGAGAAAGUUUUAGCCUUUCUCAUGUGCAUUGUUGGAGACCCUCUUUGGGCAUUUCCUUUCCUUUCCUUGCCAGUCAUAAUCAGGUCAUAUUCUUAAUUUCCUUGUACACUUGGCUUCCUUCAAUUUGAUGAAUCCGCAAAAUGAAUUUACCCGUCAGCAUCUCAGGAGUCAAAAUGAUGAAAUAUCAGAUUAUACAUUAGACACUAUAAUCAUGCCAAGUUUAAUCCACUUUGAUUUGUUUUUUAGUGGAAUAAGCUUUUAACCCACUAGUGAGAUUAAAGGGACAACCCAACCGAACAAUGCCGACCAAAAAAAAUAUUAAGAUAAAGCAUGCAGGUAGAGAAUGGUUGAUUUAAUAAAAAUAAAAAAAAAAUUGCACAGGCAAAUGCCUAUUCUAUGGCAAGGGUGCCCACCCAUACACAACAUUUGGAAAGAUUACAAUUUAUUCCACUACCAAAAAGGAG
rnacentral:misc_RNA from 1 species